rnacentral:rRNA from 1 species
GCACUUUAAGCAGUGAAGAAGACUCUGUGGUUAAUACCCACAGACGAUGACAUUAGCUGCAGAAUAAGCACCGGCUAACUCUGUGCCAGCAGCCGCGGUAAUACAGAGGGUGCAAGCGUUAAUCGGAAUUACUGGGCGUAAAGGGAGCGUAGGUGGCUCUAUAAGUCAGAUGUGAAAUCCCCGGGCUUAACCUGGGAACUGCAUCUGAUACUGUUAGGCUAGAGUAGGUGAGAGGAAGGUAGAAUUCCAGGUGUAGCGGUGAAAUGCGUAGAGAUCUGGAGGAAUACCGAUGGCGAAGGCAGCCUUCUGGCAUAAUACUGACACUGAGGCUCGAAAGCGUGGGUAGCAAACAGGAUUAGAUACCCUGGUAGUCCACGCCGUAAACGAUGUCUACUAGUCGUUGG